AGGGAAUGUUUCCACAUAUUUAUUAGACUCUUUAUGUUUUGCAUACUCUUAAUCUUGUUUUGAAAAAUAUAUGUGUAGCAAAAAAUAUGGAAACUAAUCAAGAAACUUAUAAUGUGUCUCAUUAGAUCACAGAAAUUCAUGAGGAUGCUUUGCAAAUCAAAAAUUUUUUAAUAAAUCAUUUCAUGAGGCUUGCAAUUUACAAUCGGUUUAGCCCUUUGAAUUUGCUUUCAGUUGCUGAUAGUCAUUUUGCUUCUAUUGUUGUGAUGCU
rnacentral:misc_RNA from 1 species